rnacentral:rRNA from 1 species
UGGGGAAUAUUGCACAAUGGGCGCAAGCCUGAUGCAGCCAUGCCGCGUGUGUGAAGAAGGCCUUCGGGUUGUAAAGCACUUUCAGCGAGGAGGAAGGUGGUGAACUUAAUACGUUCAUCAAUUGACGUUACUCGCAGAAGAAGCACCGGCUAACUCCGUGCCAGCAGCCGCGGUAAUACGGAGGGUGCAAGCGUUAAUCGGAAUUACUGGGCGUAAAGCGCACGCAGGCGGUUUGUUAAGUCAGAUGUGAAAUCCCCGGGCUCAACCUGGGAACUGCAUUUGAAACUGGCAAGCUAGAGUCUCGUAGAGGGGGGUAGAAUUCCAGGUGUAGCGGUGAAAUGCGUAGAGAUCUGGAGGAAUACCGGUGGCGAAGGCGGCCCCCCUGGACGAAGACUGACGCUCAGGUGCGAAAAGGCGUGGGGAGCAAAACAGGAUUAGAUACCCCUGGUAGUCCACGCUGUAAAACGAUGUCGA